GAUGUAGUUAUGUGGACCCAUCGGAAAGAAGCAUCUGUGCCCAUGAUGGGGAAGUUGUUGGAAUUGCUUGUGAUUCAACUAAUACUCACAUGAGAAGUGCUGGAUAUCAUGGAGACAUAAAGGUCUGGGAUUUCAAGAAAACGUGGAGUGCCAUCUAGAAUUCUGGAUGGGAAGUUGGGAGCUCUGUUGUCAGGAUUGUAUUCAAU
rnacentral:lncRNA from 1 species